UGACAACUACAAGUUCAAUAUAAACGACUGCAAUAUAAAUUAGCAUUUACCCAAAGUCAGACAGCUAGCAAGUUUCAAUAAUGUAACCCAAACUCUGCUGUGGAGCUGGCACCUACCACUGGGUGUGCACACCUCCUGCUGUGGUGUCACAUGGAUUCACACCACGAAGCCCAAAAGGAGGGUUCCAAGAUGAUAUCACUGAAGCAGGGCUGGAAAGGGCUGCACCGCAGACUCCCAUCAGUAUUCCCACCACAGGCCUAAAUGGCAUGGAGAGCACUCAUAUGAAGGAAUGGAGAAGAAUUAGUAGGGGAAUAAUGCCAAGCCAUUCUCUCCAUGUCAACCCUAAAAUGUGUUCAAAAACAAGAAAGCCAUGUUUUCCUUGGCCAAAGAAGACAGGAUCUCUUCUGUCCACUUUCAUCCAUCUGUGGAUGCUGCCUUGAACUCUAUGACUGAAGGAAAGUUCUGAAUAACAAAAGAAAACAGAAAAAUUCUGGAUUUUUGUGAUGGCUCCGAGCUCCUGCAUUACCAAAACUGAACAUCUUGGAGCAGAUCUUUCCAAGGACUUUUACUAUUCAGCGUAAUUAAUAAAUAGUCCACAAUGUUUAAACUGGGUAGGGUUAGUGUUCUGUUAUUCCCCAGGCUACAUCUAAAUCCAUACAGGGGGAGUUUUUUCUUUUCCUUCCUCUCCUCUUCUCUCUUCUGUUCUCCCUCUUUUUCUUAAGCUCACAGUAAAUACCAAAUUUUUUAGACAACCAACACUAUCUAUUUGUAUAUAUAAUAUGCUCAUAUGCAAGGUAUGAUUAGAGCUAAAAUGUUCCAGAAAGUUG
rnacentral:lncRNA from 1 species